UUGCCAUGUUGUACUGUGCCGCAGGACCAUGGACUGAAGCCAGAAGCUAAAAUAAUUUUAGAAAAUAGUCUUAUCCUGUGUGGGUUCACACGUGUAUGGGAACCAUGGCACAUGUGUGGCGGUCAGAGGGCAACUGGUGGAAUCUUGGGUUGUGGAACUUUACACUGUGUGAAUACAUGUCACUGCGUUGGUUUAAUAAACAAGCUGACUGGCCAAUAGCUGAACGGAAUAAGGUUAAGUGGGAGAGACAAACUGAGAAUGCUGGGAAGGAGAAGGCGAGGUCCAGGGUCGUCAGCAGAAAGAGCCAAGGUGGGCAUGCCGUGUUGUGAAAAGGUCCCAAGCCACAUGGCCGAGCAUAGAUGAGAAAUGGGGGUUAACUUAAAUAUAUGAGUUAGUAACAAACUUGCGCUGUUGGCUGAACAUUUAUAAUUUAUAUUGUCUCUGUGUCGGUAAUUUGGGAACUGGCAGGUGGGAAAGAAACUUCUGCCAACAUUGGGGAUUGAAUUUUGGUCCCCAGGCGUGGAAGCAAGCACCUUUACCUGCAAGCCCAAGAUACACUUUGAAGAAGUUGAUUACUGGGAGGCUGGAGAAAUGGUUCAGUGAUUAAGAGCAAGUCCCGCCCUUGCAGAGGACCCGCGUCUGGCGGCCCACAUGUGACUCGUUUGUGUAGGGUCGGGUUGAAGUCCUGUAAGAAAUUCCUAUGUGUGUGGUAUGAAGCCAGAGCAGCGGUGGAGACCCAGCACGUCAGAUGCCAGGAAUAUGGGCUGCCUCCUGUGAGGGGCAUGUCGGGUAGUAAGCCCAGCUCCCCCAAAGAAUGGCUGUGUGGACGGACUGCAUCCAGGAGGCUCACAGCUUACAAAUGAAUUUGCCUGGUGUGUCAAAGAAAACAUUUGAACUUUUGAGCAACAUUGGACCAGCUAAAGAUUUGGACGAUCUAAAAAUGCAUUUUGCAUUAUGAAAUGGACAUGAGCCUUUGGGGGGGGCUGUAGCUGUAAAAAUAAACGGCAUACUUGUUGAGGG